UGGAGCUAUGACUACAGAGGGGCAGUUCUCCAUCAGCCCAGAGCCACACAGGACCCAGAUGUGACCUUUCAGCUUCCUACACGAGCAACCAUGAAUGGUCUACAUCCCACCGUCCAGCCCACACGGAUGUGCUGUCCAACUCAGCCCGGCAACAUGCCCUCCAGCCAUGAGAAAAGAAAGCCUGCUACAUGUAUCUCACAGAGCCUGAAACAGCCUAUGUUUCCUGGGUUUCCACUGCAUUCCAGCCUUCAAGACCUGCAGCUUUGCCCCCUGUCUCAGCAGGAAGCAACCAUGGACAACUUCUUCAGCCCCUUUGUCAUGUACCUGUAUCCUUCUUUCUGAACUGAACUCUCCAGCACAGGGGCUGGACUGCACUGAACAAAAUGCUCUAUUAUUAAUUGUAUAA